rnacentral:lncRNA from 1 species
CUCAAAGCAACUUAGGUACCUGAAAAAAUCUAAACCAAUCAGUUUACAUGUCAAACAAUCAGACAGACAACAGUCAAUCACACAAUCACACAGCUAAGCAAGCAAUGUGCAAGGCAUAAGCCAAUAGGCACAUCACAAAUGACUUGGCAUCAACCUACAAAACAACUCAAGGUUAGCCAACAUCUAGAUCAAACAUCAAUGCUCAAGUGAGGAAGCAUCAUCAACUAUGGACUUGGAUGUGUAAACUUGAAAUCAAAGCUCAACUGUGAGUCACAAAC